rnacentral:misc_RNA from 1 species
UGACUCCAUUUUACCUAUUGCUAUUUGGUCCAUUGUUUCCAACAUAGGCCCUGAGAGAGGGUGAUUGAGUAAGACCAUAUGGAGCAAUUGUCUGUUUUUGAUUUCCAUUCUUCUGCUGCAUUUUUCUUCUAGCAAUGUAACCUCUGAUCCACGGGGUUACAUCUUCGUUGAUCUUGAUCAUGAUAAAGAAGAUAAUACGAUAGGUGAUUAUCAUCACGAAGAUCACACUCACGUCUAUCCAUUUUGAUCUGUUCAGAUCAAUUUGGAAUAUCUGCUCCAGUAUGAAUUCACCUGGGAUUUUGGGGAGAUCAGGACUCGAGUUAUCAAACUCCAAUCCCAUCAAAUCGUUUUGAUAUUGCCCCUGUAGUGCCCAGAAAUGGAAACUGAGGUAAGACAUAGGGUAACGCCAGAAAGGCUUUGGGAUGUCGUUGGGGAGUCGAAAGUAUCCAGAGACUAACAUAAAUAUUCCCUGGAUUCCAGCACCUAUAAUGAUACCCAUGAGGAAAUUAGGGACAACACUAGCUAUGACCAUCAUCAAGCUUUCGACAACAGUGACACUGGCGUAGAGGCAUAUUACAAAGAAUAAAUAGUGCGUGAAGCCCGGGUGUAACCG